rnacentral:misc_RNA from 1 species
AAGUCGUAACAAGGUCUCCGUAGGUGAACCUGCGGAGGGAUCAUUACAAGAACGCCCGGGCUUCGGCCUGGUUAUUCAUAACCCUUUGUUGUCCGACUCUGUUGCCUCCGGGGCGACCCUGCCUUCGGGCGGGGCUCCGGGUGGACACUUCAAACUCUUGCGUAACUUUGCAGUCUGAGUAAACUUAUUAUAAUUAAA